AGUGCUGGUGAGGGUGUGGAGCAACCUCGCUAAAUGAGGAUGGGGUGAGUUCCACAGUGAUACUGCUUCUUCACAUCCUGAAGUCCACAGCUGCUCUUGGGGUCACCCUAGCUCACUGGUUCUCAGAGUGUGGUUCCUCAGCCAGCAGCAUCAGCUUCAGCUGGAAACUUAACAGAAGGGUACAUUCCUGUGCUCCAGUCCAGACCUACUAAUUCAGAAACUGUGAGGGUGGGGUGCAGCAAUUUGGGAUUUUAACUCUCACCCCAGGGGAUUCUGUUGCAUGCUCAAGUCUGAGAACCACUAGUGUAACUCUUAGUGGAGCCACUGAAAACUUGGUAAGAGCAGCUACAGAUGAAUGCCUUGGGCUAAUUCUUCCUAUCUGCCCAGUCUGGGCUUCCCUCUCCCUAUCAACUUAUAACUAGCACACAAUUCACGAGGCAUGGUUCUUUUUCUUGAUUGCUUUGAGCAGUCUUCAGAGGUUCCUAGCUACUACUGAUCCAUAGAAUAUCUCUACAAAGGGUGCUAGGGUGGGUUUAAAAAGGGGGAGAAGAGAGGAGAGACAGGAAAAACAUCUUUAAUGAACUUAUUUCCUCUUUGAUAUGCAAGGAGGAGAGGAUGCAAGAAAAAAAUAGGGAUUAUUCCUUGUCACCCUAAAAGUAGCCUAAUCAACACAUAACAAAAUUGCCACAGCUAAAAUGCAUUGAAAGACAAUCUCAUUUACUCUUCCUGCUACCCUGACUAGGGAGAGAGAGCUUCUGCUGGAGGACCAAUCCAUCCUCGUGGGCAUGGGAGAGUCCUGCUCAUUGGUAGGUAACAAGCUGCUGCUCUGCCAUGUUUUUGACUCCCACCACGAGCACGGCUGCUUAUGCACGGUAAAUUAGAUGUGGCUGCCGUGCUGACAUGGACAAAUUGGCAAUUACAGCGGAAAUAAUGCUGCUCUGGACUUCUGUUCCUGAGCUCGUGCUUGCCAGAGAUUUCAACAGCAGGUUGCCUCCUCCUGAGUCAGGUGUUGCCUGCGGCAUCUCUGCGAACCUUUCCUCCCCUCUCUCCCGGGGAGGAAAGAGCCGCGCAGGCAAUUUGCCAGCUGGGUCUCUGGCGUCCUCAGCCACACAGCAGUCAGAGCCACUGUCACGCAGGUGUCUCUAGCACAAAACUCACGGAAGCAGAAUCUGGGGUGGUCGCGGCUCCACUGAGACUAUGGGGGUUCUCUGUGCAGGCUCCCAUAGCUAAGCAGGCUAGGCUGGCUGAGGAUGAGCCCCACCAACGAAUCAACAUGUGCAAGGCUUUUUUAGCUUUGACAGUUACCAAAUAGAAAUGUCAGAACGAGCAUGUGGUGUCUGUAAGUGCUGAAUAACUGGGGGGACAGACUGGAUCUUCCUGUAGUCAUUAGGCAUUUAAACAUGAUUUCUUUCGGGAUGGCUUCUGUGAACUUGCUUGUCUGCUGGGGAGUGCUGUCUUUCUUUUCCCUGUCUACUUAAGAACUGACCUUGAUAUUCACAAACAAAUGGAUUAAAAUCGAUAGAACUGGGCUUUUAAAACUGGAAUGUGUGCACACAUUACAUGGAGAUUUGUUAAGAUGUAGAUUUUAAUUCAUUACUGCUGUGGUGCGGCCCAAGAUUCUGCAUUUCUUGCAAGGUGCUAAGUGACGCUGAGGUGACGCCGCUGCUGCUGCUGGUCUGUGGACCCCUAUCUGAGCAGCAACACUAUAGAUCAGCAGCAGCUCCCAGACCUAUCUGUAAGUUGGAACCAUCUGGGGAGCUUAAACAACUCUUGACAUGUGUGAACACCCGAUAUAGUUUGGAUUUGUGUUCCGGCCCAAAUCUCAUGUCAAAUUGUAAUCCCCAAUGUUGAAGGAGGGGUCUGGUGGGAAGCGAUUAGAUCGAAGGGGCGGAUUUUCCCCUUGCUGGUCUCGUGAUAGUGAGUGAGUUCUCACGAGAUCUGGUUGUUUAAAAGCAUGUAGCACCUCCCGCUUUGCUCAUUUCCGUCUGCUCUGGCCACGUGAGAUGUCCCGGUUUCACCUUUCCCUUCAGCCAAGAUUUCAAGUUUCCCCAAGCCUCCCUAGAAGCAGAAGCCUGUACGGCCUGCAGAACUGAUGAUGUGGCAAGAAAACUCUUGCCAGAUGCUGGCACCUUGAUGUUGGCACCAGCCUCCAAGACUCUGAUAAGUGCAGGGAGCAACUCCUCCACUGGGCUUUCUUCUUCCUGAUGGAACAGAUGAAGGAGGUUAGUGGGAUGAUUUACAGAUGCCCUGGCUGCUGUUGACCUUGGUGCCACAGCUGGUAAGUACCCUCUUCUUCAUCCAUUAUCCAUUCUAAAUCCCUCUCAUCCUGAGUUGUUACCUUGACGGGUCAUGGUAGCCUAUCUGGUAGUGUGAUCCAGAUCUUUGUAUCUGAACCACAUGAAAAGUUGAUUUUCAUACCCUUCUUAGUGUAGGGAUGUUGCACCUGUCUGUUCACAGUUAAUACGCAGUGCCAGGAGGUUGUUCCAUAGAUCGCUUGGGUUCCCCAUGUAUCCUUCCUGUCUCCGUUGUGUAAAAGCAGCUCUACCCUCCUGCUGGUCGAGGACAAUUACAUAUCAGUAUGGUAAUUCUUUUCACCUGCAAUCCCACGGCAAAGGGUGGAAAGUGCCCUGCUGACAGCCAUAACUUGUACUUCAA
rnacentral:lncRNA from 1 species